GGUGGGAUAGCUGGGUAAUGUGGUAGUUCCAUUCUUAGUUUUUUGAGGAAUUUCCACAUUUUUUUCCAGAAUGGUUCUACUAAUUUGCAAUCCCACCAACCAU
rnacentral:pre_miRNA from 1 species